AGUGAACGCUGGCGGUAGGCCUAACACAUGCAAGUCGAACGGCAGCACAGUAAGAGCUUGCUCUUACGGGUGGCGAGUGGCGGACGGGUGAGGAAUACAUCGGAAUCUACUUUUUCGUGGGGGAUAACGUAGGGAAACUUACGCUAAUACCGCAUACGACCUACGGGUGAAAGCAGGGGAUCUUCGGACCUUGCGCGAUUGAAUGAGCCGAUGUCGGAUUAGCUAGUUGGCGGGGUAAAGGCCAACCAAGGCGACGAGCCGAAGCUGGUCUGAGAGGAUGAUCAGCCACACUGGAACUGAGACACGGUCCAGACUCCUACGGGAGGCAGCAGUGGGGAAUAUUGGACAAUGGGCGCAAGCCUGAUCCAGCCAUACCGCGUGGGUGAAGAAGGCCUUCGGGUUGUAAAGCCCUUUUGUUGGGAAAGAAAAGCAGCAGGUUAAUACCCCGCUGUUCUGACGGUACCCAAAGAAUAAGCACCGGCUAACUUCGUG
rnacentral:rRNA from 1 species